CCCUUAGAUGUUCUGGGCCGCACGCGCGCUACACUGACGAAUGCAACGAGCUUAUAACCUUGGCCGAUAGGUCUGGGUAAUCUUUGAACGCUGUUCGUGAUUGGGAUAGACCUUUGCAAUUAUGGGUCUUCAACGAGGAAUUCCUAGUAAACGCAAGUCAUCAGCUUGCAUUGAUUACGUCCCUGCCCUUUGUACACACCGCCCGUCGCACCUACCGAUUGAAUGGUCCGGUGAAAUCUCGGGACGGCGGCUUGGUCGCUUGCGUCCGACUGCUGAAACUUGAUUAAACCAUAUCAUUUAGAGGAAGGUGAAGUCGUAACA
rnacentral:rRNA from 1 species